CUACGGGGCGCUGCAGUGGGGAAUAUUGCACAAUGGGCGAAAGCCUGAUGCAGCAACGCCGCGUGAGUGAUGACGGCCUUCGGGUUGUAAAGCUCUGUCUUCAGGGACGAUAAUGACGGUACCUGAGGAGGAAGCCACGGCUAACUACGUGCCAGCAGCCGCGGUAAUACGUAGGUGGCAAGCGUUGUCCGGAUUUACUGGGCGUAAAGGGAGCGUAGGCGGAUGUUUAAGUGGGAUGUGAAAUACUCGGGCUCAACUUGGGUGCUGCAUUCCAAACUGGAUAUCUAGAGUGCAGGAGAGGAAAGGAGAAUUCCUAGUGUAGCGGUGAAAUGCGUAGAGAUUAGGAAGAAUACCAGUGGCGAAGGCGCCUUUCUGGACUGUAACUGACGCUGAGGCUCGAAAGCGUGGGGAGCAAACAGGAUUAGAUACCCCAGUAGUC
rnacentral:rRNA from 1 species